rnacentral:rRNA from 1 species
GAUGAACGCUGGCGGCGUGCUUAACACAUGCAAGUCGAACGAAGCACUUUAUUUGAUUUCCUUCGGGAUUGAUUAUUUUGUGACUGAGUGGCGGACGGGUGAGUAACGCGUGGGUAACCUGCCUUGUACAGGGGGAUAACAGUUGGAAACGGCUGCUAAUACCGCAUAAGCGCACAGCAUCGCAUGAUGCAGUGUGAAAAACUCCGGUGGUAUAAGAUGGACCCGCGUUGGAUUAGCUAGUUGGUGAGGUAACGGCCCACCAAGGCGACGAUCCAUAGCCGACCUGAGAGGGUGACCGGCCACAUUGGGACUGAGACACGGCCCAAACUCCUACGGGAGGCAGCAGUGGGGAAUAUUGCACAAUGGGCGAAAGCCUGAUGCAGCGACGCCGCGUGAGCGAAGAAGUAUUUCGGUAUGUAAAGCUCUAUCAGCAGGGAAGAUAA